UACGUAGGGUGCGAGCGUUAAUCGGAAUUACUGGGCGUAAAGCGUGCGCAGGCGGCUCGUUAAGACAGGUGUGAAAUCCCCGGGCUUAACCUGGGAAUGGCGCUUGUGACUGGCGGGCUUUUGGAGUGCGGCAGAGGGAGGUGGAAUUCCACGUGUAGCAGUGAAAUGCGUAGAGAUGUGGAGGAACACCGAUGGCGAAGGCAGCCUCCUGGGCCAGCACUGACGCUCAUGCACGAAAGCGUGGGGAGCAAACAGG
rnacentral:rRNA from 1 species